AUUGAACGCUGGCGGCAGGCUUAACACAUGCAAGUCGAGCGGAGCGAGGGUGCUUGCACCUUAGCUUAGCGGCGGACGGGUGAGUAAUGCUUAGGAAUCUGCCUAUUAGUGGGGGACAACAUUCCGAAAGGAAUGCUAAUGCCGCAUACGCCCUACGGGGCAAAGCAGGGGAUCUUCGGACCUUGCGCUAAUAGAUGAGCCUAAGUCGGAUUAGCUAGUUGGUGGGGUAAGGGCCUACCAAGGCGACGAUCUGUAGCGGGUCUGAGCGGAUGAUCCGCCACACUGGGACUGAGACACGGCCGAGACGCCUACGGGAGGCGGCAGUGGGGAAUAUUGGACAAUGGGCGGAAGCCUGAUCCAGCCAUGCCGCGUGUGUGAAGAAGGCCUUUUGGUUGUAAAGCACUUUAAGCGAGGAGGAGGCUACUUAGAUUAAUACUCUGGGAUAGUGGACGUUACUCGCAGAAUAAGCACCGGCUAACUCUGUGCCAGCAGCCGCGGUAA
rnacentral:rRNA from 1 species